rnacentral:rRNA from 1 species
CGCGAAUAGCUCAUUACAACAGCCAUAGUUUAUUAGAUAGUCUAUUACUACAUGGAUAACUGUGGUAAUUCUAGAGCUAAUACAUGCUACAAACAGUGACCUCGCAAGAGGUAGCUGCGCUUUUAUUAGAACAAAACCAAUCGCGCUGUGGGCAACCGCAGUGCGUCAUUUGGUGAAUCUGAAUAACCUGGCAGAUCGCACGGUCUAGCACCGGCGACACAUCUUUCAAAUGUCUGCCUUAUCAACUGUCGAUGGUAGUUUACAUGCCUACCAUGGUGAUAACGGGUAACAGAGAAUAAGGGUUUGACUCUGGAGAGGGAGCCUGAGAGACGGCUACCACAUCCAAGGAAGGCAGCAGGCACGCAAAUUACCCACUCUCAGAACGAGGAGGUAGUGACGAAAAAUAACGAGACAGUUCUCUAUGAGGUCUGUCAUCGGAAUGGGUACAAUUUAAACCCUUUAACGAGGAUCUAUUGGAGGGCAAGUCUGGUGCCAGCAGCCGCGGUAAUUCCAGCUCCAAUAGCGUAUAUUAAAGUUGUUGCGGUUAAAAAGCUCGUAGUUGGAUCUGCGGUCGUAGACUCUGGUUCCCUCCUAGGGAUACUAGCUGUCUCGACCUACCUUGUUAGAUUUCCCUUGGUGCUCUUUACUGAGUGCCUUGGGUGUCUAGCUCGUUUACUUUGAAAAAAUUAGAGUGCUUAAAGCAGGCAUUUGCCUGAAUAGUGGUGCAUGGAAUAAUGGAAUAGGACCUCGGUUCUAUUUUGUUGGUUUUCGGAGCAUGAGGUAAUGAUUAAGAGGGACAGACGGGGGCAUUCGUACUGCUACGUUAGAGGUGAAAUUCUUGGAUCGUAGCAUGACGAACAACUGCGAAAGCAUUUGCCAAGAAUGUUUUCAUUAAUCAAGAACGAUAGUUAGAGGUUCGAAGGCGAUCAGAUACCGCCC